UUGAACGCUGGCGGCAGGCCUAACACAUGCAAGUCGAGCGGUAGCACAGAGAGCUUGCUCUCGGGUGACGAGCGGCGGACGGGUGAGUAAUGUCUGGGAAACUGCCUGAUGGAGGGGGAUAACUACUGGAAACGGUAGCUAAUACCGCAUAAUGUCGCAAGACCAAAGAGGGGGACCUUCGGGCCUCUUGCCAUCGGAUGUGCCCAGAUGGGAUUAGCUAGUAGGUGGGGUAACGGCUCACCUAGGCGACGAUCCCUAGCUGGUCUGAGAGGAUGACCAGCCACACUGGAACUGAGACACGGUCCAGACUCCUACGGGAGGCAGCAGUGGGGAAUAUUGCACAAUGGGCGCAAGCCUGAUGCAGCCAUGCCGCGUGUAUGAAGAAGGCCUUCGGGUUGUAAAGUACUUUCAGCGGGGAGGAAGGGAGUAAAGUUAAUACCUUUGCUCAUUGACGUUACCCGCAGAAGAAGCACCGGCUAACUCCGUG
rnacentral:rRNA from 1 species